rnacentral:pre_miRNA from 3 species
GUCUACCCAGUGUUUAGACUAUCUGUUCAGGACUCCCAAAUUGUACAGUAGUCUGCACAUUGGUUAGGC